UACGAAGGGGGCUAGCGUUGCUCGGAAUUACUGGGCGUAAAGCGCACGUAGGCGGCUUUCUAAGUCGGGGGUGAAAUCCUGGAGCUCAACUCCAGAACUGCCUUCGAUACUGGAGAGCUCGAGUCCGGGAGAGGUGAGUGGAACUGCGAGUGUAGAGGUGAAAUUCGUAGAUAUUCGCAAGAACACCAGUGGCGAAGGCGGCUCUCUGGGACGGUACUGACGCUGAGACGCGAAAGCGUGGGGAGCGAACAGG
rnacentral:rRNA from 1 species